rnacentral:rRNA from 1 species
CCUACGGGAGGCAGCAGUGGGGAAUAUUGGACAAUGGGGGCAACCCUGAUCCAGCCAUGCCGCGUGUGUGAAGAAGGCCCUCGGGUUGUAAAGCACUUUCAGUGAGGAAGAACGCCUGGUGGUUAAUACCCAUCAGGAAAGACAUCACUCACAGAAGAAGCACCGGCUAACUCCGUGCCAGCAGCCGCGGUAAUACGGAGGGUGCGAGCGUUAAUCGGAAUUACUGGGCGUAAAGCGCGCGUAGGUGGCUUGAUAAGCCGGUUGUGAAAGCCCCGGGCUCAACCUGGGAACGGCAUCCGGAACUGUCAAGCUAGAGUGCAGGAGAGGAAGGUAGAAUUCCCGGUGUAGCGGUGAAAUGCGUAGAGAUCGGGAGGAAUACCAGUGGCGAAGGCGGCCUUCUGGACUGACACUGACCCUGAGGUGCGAAAGCGUGGGUAGCAAACAGGAUUAGAUACCCCUGUAGUC